GAUCAUGGCUCAGGAUGAACGCUAGCUACAGGCUUAACACAUGCAAGUCGAGGGGAAACGACAUCGAAAGCUUGCUUUUGAUGGGCGUCGACCGGCGCACGGGUGAGUAACGCGUAUCCAACCUGCCCAUCACUUGGGAAUAACCUUGCGAAAGUAAGACUAAUGCCCAAUGACAUCCCACGAAGGCAUCCGAAUGGGAUUAAAGAUUUAUCGGUGAUGGACGGGGAUGCGUCUGAUUAG
rnacentral:rRNA from 1 species